rnacentral:rRNA from 1 species
UACGAAGGGUGCAAGCGUUACUCGGAAUUACUGGGCGUAAAGCGUGCGUAGGUGGUUUGUUAAGUCUGUUGUGAAAGCCCUGGGCUCAACCUGGGAAUUGCAUUGGAUACUGGCAGGCUAGAGUGCGGUAGAGGAUGGCGGAAUUCCCGGUGUAGCAGUGAAAUGCGUAGAGAUCGGGAGGAACAUCUGUGGCGAAGGCGGCCAUCUGGACCAGCACUGACACUGAGGCACGAAAGCGUGGGGAGCAAACAGG